AACCUGUAUCUCGUACUUUCGAAUUCCCGCGAUUUUAUUCGUGUGGUAUUUGUUAUUUUAUUGUACGAGAUAUAUAUGCUGGUGAAUGUUUAGAAAUUGUGUGUUUUAGACGCGCGCGCGAACUUUUGUUCGUUGCUUGCUGCUAUUCAUACGAUUUCGAUGUUCGAUACGAUGAGUUUUAAGAUUAAAUUCACUUCGGUGAGUUGCUUUGAUUCAAUCGUAUUUUGACUGUGUUUGAAAGUGUUGUGCGGUCAGAGAUGCAGUUUCGUAAAAAAAAACUGUAUUGUCGCGCGCUCGUUUUCGACCUGUCAGACCAGCGAAAUUACUUUGAACAAAUUAGAGUGCUUAAAGCAGGCACAUUUUAUGCCUUGAAUAUAAACAGCAUGGAAUAAUAGAAUAUGAUCUCGAUACUGUUUGUUUAAUGUUUUUUUUGCUUAAUCGCGUAAGAUUAGUGAAAAAGCAUUUUUCGUUUGAUAGUAUGCGCAAGUGUAUUGAAGGCGAAAUAAAAUUGGCUUAAAGUGAACAUUGCAGGAGAAUCUGAAAUGAUUUUCUUUUUGUUCACGACAGUAU
rnacentral:rRNA from 1 species